rnacentral:rRNA from 1 species
GACGAACGCUGGCGGCGUGCCUAAUACAUGCAACUAGAACGCUGAAGAGAGGAGCUUGCUCUUCUUGGUUGAGUUGCGAACGGGUGAGUAACGCGUAGGUAACCUGCCUUGUAGCGGGGGCUAACUAUUGGAAACGAUAGCUAAUACCGCAUAACAAUGGAUGACACAUGUCAUUUAUUUGCAAGGGGCAAUUGCUCCACUACAAGAUGGACCUGCGUUGUAUUAGCUAGUAGGUGCGGUAAUGGCUCACCUAGGCGACGAUACAUAGCCGACCUGAGAGGGUGAUCGGCCACACUGGGACUGAGACACGGCCCAGAGUCCUACAGGAGACAGCAGUAGGAAAUCUACGGCAAUGGGGGCAACCCUGACCGAGCAACGCCGCGUGAGUGAAGAAGAUUUUCGGAUCGUAAUGCUCUGUUGUAAGUCAAGAACGGGUGUGUGAGUGGAAAGUUCGCACUGUGACGGUAGCUUACCAGAAAGGGACGGCUAACUACGUG